rnacentral:rRNA from 1 species
AACGAACGCUGGCGGCAUGCCUAACACAUGCAAGUCGAACGAGCCCUUCGGGGUUAGUGGCGCACGGGUGCGUAACGCGUGGGAAUCUGCCCUUGGGUUCGGAAUAACAGUGAGAAAUUACUGCUAAUACCGGAUGAUGUCUUCGGACCAAAGAUUUAUCGCCCAAGGAUGAGCCCGCGUAUGAUUAGCUAGUUGGUGGGGUAAUGGCCUACCAAGGCGACGAUCCUUAGCUGGUCUGAGAGGAUGAUCAGCCACACUGGGACUGAGACACGGCCCAGACUCCUACGGGAGGCAGCAGUGGGGAAUAUUGGACAAUGGGCGAAAGCCUGAUCCAGCAAUGCCGCGUGAGUGAUGAAGGCCUUAGGGUUGUAAAGCUCUUUUACCCGGGAUGAUAAUGACAGUACCGGGAGAAUAAGCUCCGGCUAACUCCGUG